rnacentral:rRNA from 1 species
UACGUAGGCAGCAAGCGUUGUUCGGAGUUACUGGGCGUAAAGGGUGUGUAGGCGGCCUUCUAAGUUUGGUGUGAAAUCUCCCGGCUCAACUGGGAGGGUGCGCCGAAUACUGAAGGGCUAGAGUGCGGGAGAGGAGAGUGGAAUUCCUGGUGUAGCGGUGAAAUGCGUAGAGAUCGGAAAGAACACCAACGGCGAAAGCACUCUGCUGGGCCGACACUGACACUGAGAGACGAAAGCUAGGGGAGCGAAUGGG